rnacentral:tRNA from 1 species
GGCGCUAUCGUCUAGUUAGGUCUAGGACAUCUGGUUCUCAGCCAGAAGGCUGGGGUUCAAAUCCCCAUAGCGCUAC